CUUAUUUUCACUUAGGUAUUCUGAUUUGCAGCCAAAAUCACCCUGAUUAGGGAUUAUCUAAUCCAAUGGUUUCGUUUCACAGAUAAAGAAACAGACUCCAAGUAAAUAAGUAACUUGCUCAACAUCCACAGUGAUUAACUGACAGAGCUACAGCUCAAACGCAGGUGUCCUGAUUCUUGGACUAAAGGACUUUCUGCCAACCCUGAGAGAACAUUCUGGCUGGAAUAGAAGGAAAUGAGACGAGCAGAGAGAGGCCUGGUAGGCUCUGAAGAGAAGCAGUCUCAGGCACUGAGGCAGAAGAGGGCCUCCGCUAGUGAGCACAGACCAACAGGACAGGAUUCCAGCCAAUGGGUAACUUUUUACGGAAGUAGAACAUUCAGACAAAAGUGCACAUCAGUACACAGUUUGAUGAAUUUUCAUAAACUGAACAUACCUAGGAGACCCCUGCCCCGAUUAAGAACAUUCUCAACGCCUCAAGAGCUCCCCUUAUGCUCCCCUCCAGCUAACGGUCAGAAGAGGCAGCUGCUGGCAGUGGCCCACCUGCUCAAUGAUACCCUGGGCAGACAUUAGCAAACUGUGGCUGAUGGGCCAAUCAACAUCUGUGCAACUCAAGAAUGGUCUUCACCUGCUUAAAUGGUUGAAAAGAAAGUGAAAGGAUGUUUUGUGACAAGUGAAAAUUAUAUGAAAUUCAAAUUUUAGUGCCCAUGAAGAAAGCAGUAUUGGAGUACAGCUAUGCCCAUUGUUUAUGUUUCCUCUAUGGCUGGUUUCAUGCCACAAUGGUUGACUUGAGUAGCUGCAACAGAGAACACAUGGCCCAUGAAGCCUAAGAGAGCCACUACCUGGCCCUUCACUGGAAAGGCUUGCUGAGCUCUGCCCUAAGGAACCCCGGCUCAUUGCAGCGUUCUUCUUUGCCCUCUUUAUUACAUCCCUCCAGCAAUGUUGUUCUUUAUUACUACACAUUAGGCCCUAGCUCCAAAGCUGAUCUUUUCUGGAAAGCUUGCAGACUCUCACUUAUACCUCAUUGAACAGAACAUCACACGGACAUCCCUGGACACAAGGGGGUCUGCGAGACCUCCACCUCUCCCUACACAAAUUUCAGAAGGAAGAAACAUGUAAAUAAAACCAUAAACACGAAAACUAGAAAGUAAGAAUGCGUAUGAUCUUUUUAU
rnacentral:lncRNA from 1 species